rnacentral:rRNA from 1 species
UGCCGCGUGAGUGAUGAAGGCCUUAGGGUCGUAAAGCUCUUUCGCUGGGGAAGAUAAUGACUGUACCAGGUAAAGAAACCCCGGCUAACUCCGUGCCAGCAGCCGCGGUAAUACGGAGGGGGUUAGCGUUGUUCGGAAUUACUGGGCGUAAAGCGCGCGUAGGCGGACUGGAAAGUUGGGGGUGAAAUCCCGGGGCUCAACCUCGGAACUGCCUUCAAAACUCCCAGUCUUGAGUUCGAGAGAGGUGAGUGGAAUUCCGAGUGUAGAGGUGAAAUUCGUAGAUAUUCGGAAGAACACCAGUGGCGAAGGCGGCUCACUGGCUCGAUACUGACGCUGAGGUGCGAAAGUGUGGGGAGCAAACAGGAUUAGAUACCCUGGUAGUCCACACCGUAAACGAUGAAUGCCAGUCGUCGGCAAGCAUGCUUGUCGGUGACACACCUAACGGAUUAAGCAUUCCGCCUGGGGAGUACGGUCGCAAGAUUAAAACUCAA